AGCGUCCACUGACAGAUGGAUAAAGAAAAUGCAGUAUAUCAGAACUUAUUAUUAACAUCAGUGUCACUAAAGUUGGUAUUCAACCCUCCACUGCUAAAUUUGACUGGCUUUAA
rnacentral:sRNA from 1 species